UAAUACGGAGGGGGCUAGCGUUGUUCGGAAUUACUGGGCGUAAAGGGCGCGUAGGCGGCCGGCUAAGUUAGGCGUGAAAGGCCUGGGCUCAACCCGGGAACUGCGCUUGAUACUGUCUGGCUGGAGUCCGGGAGAGGAUGGCGGAAUUCCCAGUGUAGAGGUGAAAUUCGUAGAUAUUGGGAAGAACACCGGUGGCGAAGGCGGCCAUCUGGACCGGCACUGACGCUGAGGCGCGAAAGCGUGGGGAGCAAACAGGAUUAGAUACCCUGGUAGUCCACGCUGUAAACGAUGAGUGCUAGACGUCGGGGGCGCAAGCCUUCGGUGUCGCAGCUAACGCUUUAAGCACUCCGCCUGGGGAGUACGGCCGCAAGGUUA
rnacentral:rRNA from 1 species